ensembl:snRNA U6 U6 spliceosomal RNA
GUGCUUGCUUUGGCAGCACGUGUACUAAAAUUGGAAGGAUACAGAGAAGAUUAGCAUGGCCCCUGCACAGGGAUGCCACACAAAUUCGUGAAACGUUCCAUCAAAAA